rnacentral:tRNA from 1 species
GAGGAUAUAGCUCAGUGGUAGAGUGCGUGCUUAGCAUGCAGGAGGUCCUGGGUUCAAUCCCCAGUAUCUCCA